CUGGUUUUGGGUCCGGCACGCCCUGGUUUUCGAGCAGUUUUCCUGAGUCAGAAGUCAUACUGACUGGUGGCAGCCUCCUUCAGCCAGUGAGCCUCGGAGACGAGAUGCUUAUCUAGACAGCUGGGAUUAUCUUCGCCAGGAACUGGCCUCAAGGAAAUGGGAACAAGGAGACCCUGGAGUUGAAGACUAACUGCUUUAAACAAUCAAGAUGACGCU